rnacentral:sRNA from 1 species
AUGAAAUCUACAAAAUAUUCAUACUGUUUUCAUAUCCCAACUUCAAGCAUCAUCAUGAGGGUCCUCUUUAUUCUUUCCCUUAUUGCUAUGGCUAUGGCCAUGCCGCAAGUCCCAGUCAGAGGCUCAAAGUGUUCGCCACAGUGUCCUCUGAAAUUUGAUCCUCAUUGUGCGUAUACUGAUACUAACGUCACAGUUAAUUUUCUGAAUGACUGCCAUGUGAAAUAUAGUGUGUGUACGAUGGAAGAAUCAAAAUGGAAACCCUUCGUGAAAAUUGAGAAAGGAAAGUGCGCUUAAUUAUAUGAAUAUGAAUUCCAAAAUGUACUCUGUCUAUUUUAUAAUAAAAAAGAAUGUA